GUUUAUUGAGUGAUUGGGGUGGCUCUAGGUCGAUCUGAAUUAAAGUCGACCCAUUUCGCAGUGUAGACAAGUUCUGAAAUUCCCCACGGCACAUGAUGGGGCACAUACGACCCUAAUGUGCCCUGUCCUGUUGUUAAGGGUUUCAUGAUGCGCUACGCUGGCCAUGUCGAGCACUGGAUUGGCCUCCGAGGAGAAUCCGGCCAGCCCCGGACAUGGGUGAAUGGGACCCAACUGAAACAGCAGCUGUGUGAGGAAAGAGGGGAAGGGGACUGCUCCUAUUUGAGCCAUGGCUUUGUGCGUUCUUCAGGUUGCUCCUCGUUGAGAAACUGGAUCUGCAGCACACCUGACAGAUACUUAUAGGGAAAGGAAAAAUGCAAGUGUGAUAUAGUCCAUGAGUGUGUGCUUAUAUGAUUGUCUUAACUGGGCUAUGCUUUAUGCAAGGUGUGUCCAAACACAUGAUUCUAAAUAUUGCCAUUUACUCAAUAUGACUACUCUGUUUGUAUGGAGGCAUCAUUUUUGCAGCGAAACUUCGGAAUAUGGCCCUGUGGAGUUUUAUUUUGUGUUCCAUUCUUGUUGCUUUCACUGCUUUUACCUCAGGGACUACAAUAGGCAUCCGGACAGCUUAAUGUCCCAUCAGUGAGAAUAUUUAAUUGUGAACAGGCCUUCUUGUGGGCAUGCUAUGCAGGAAAAACAGCACAGCAGCCCAACGCUGGGGCAUAUGAAAAUGCAAAAAGGGAGCUAUGCAAAAAUGAGGAGGUUAGUUAAACAGAAAUUACAAGGUACUGGGCAAAAAGCAAAAUCUCUGCAAGCUGCAUGGAAACUUUCUAAAGACACCAUAAUAGGAGCUCAAAUUUGGGGAGUACCUGCAUGUUUAAAACU